rnacentral:rRNA from 1 species
ACAGAGGGUGCAAGCGUUGAUCGGAAUUACUGGGCGUAAAGGGCGCGUAGGCGGCGAACUCAGUCGGAUGUGAAAUCCCCUGGCUCAACCAGGGAAUUGCAUUCGAUACUGCAUGGCUUGAGUACGGAAGAGGGAUGCGGAAUUCCAGGUGUAGCGGUGAAAUGCGUAGAUAUCGGAAGGAACAUCAGUGGCGAAGGCG